UACAGAGGGUGCAAGCGUUAAUCGGAAUUACUGGGCGUAAAGCGUGCGUAGUCGGUUAUCUAAGUCGGGUGUGAAAUCCCCGGGCUCAACCUGGGAAUUGCAUUCGAUACUGGAUAGCUAGAGUUCGGCAGAGGGAAGCGGAAUUUCUGGUGUAGCGGUGAAAUGCGUAGAGAUCGGCAGGAACACCCAGGGGGAAACCAGCCGACUGGGCAUCUACUGACGCUGAGGUGCGAGAGCGUGGGGAGCGAACCGG
rnacentral:rRNA from 1 species